rnacentral:lncRNA from 1 species
GCGCUCUUGUAUUUAUUUGCAUAAUUAUAAAUUUGCACCUAAUUACAUUAAUUUGCGCCAAAUUGCCAAUGAAUUAUCAUUAUAUAUUACUAUAAAAUGUAUGUUUUCGAUUGUAUUCAGCGAGGUGGCCUUGCGUGCGGCGAAUUGAAACGUGAUACGGUUCGAUUUGUUUUUGGAACACGGUGGUCGGUAGCCUGAGUGUCAGGCUAGGUGGUCGGUUGCUAUGCAAAUUCCUCCCGCAUCAACUGGUUGGUCACGUGACACCU